AGUGAACGCUGGCGGUAGGCCUAACACAUGCAAGUCGAACGGCAGCACAGUAAGAGCUUGCUCUUACGGGUGGCGAGUGGCGGACGGGUGAGGAAUACAUCGGAAUCUACUUUUUCGUGGGGGAUAACGUAGGGAAACUUACGCUAAUACCGCAUACGACCUACGGGUGAAAGCAGGGGAUCUUCGGACCUUGCGCGAUUGAAUGAGCCGAUGUCGGAUUAGCUAGUUGGCGGGGUAAAGGCCCACCAAGUCGACGAUCCGUAGCUGGUCUGAGAGGAUGAUCAGCCACAUGGGAACUGAGACACGGUCCAGACUCCUACGGGAGGCAGCAGUGGGGAAUAUUGGACAAUGGGCGCAAGCCUGAUCCAGCCAUACCGCGUGGGUGAAGAAGGCCUUCGGGUUGUAAAGCCCUUUUGUUGGGAAAGAAAAGCAGCAGGUUAAUACCCCGCUGUUCUGACGGUACCCAAAGAAUAAGCACCGGCUAACUUCGUG
rnacentral:rRNA from 1 species